CAACCCUUAAGCCCUGCCGCUUAGCGUUGGGAGCCUACCCUGCGGAAAGGCGUAGCUCCCUAAAGGUAGUGGCGGUGUCUGGUGCACACGUAGCGUAGUACAUCUAUCCUCGCUCCUGUGGCGCCCCGGACGGCCUGCCGUAAAACCCCCGCCAUAUUUCUCUUGG
rnacentral:misc_RNA from 1 species